rnacentral:lncRNA from 1 species
UUGAGGGGAAAAAAAAGCUAGGGUCUGCUUUUGAACAUGCAUUAUACAUCUUGGUGAGACAUCUAGGUGCCACUGUCUUUUUCCAAUAAAAUCUAUGACAACAAAGUAACAGCCAAAGGCCUGUUGACUUCCUUAAAGUGGCUCGACUUACUUUUGUAUACAGUAAGAUUCAGGGGGCACAACAGAAAACCUAAUGCUGUCUGUAGGGAUUUAAGAAAAAAAAAAAAAAAAGGAAACCUAAUGCUCACAUUAAAAGUAAAGCAACCAAAUAGUAGAAAAAUUAUCAAAUAAUGUGGUGAAUCUGAGAGUAAUUUCUGAUGUAUUAAUAUCUAACACUAUUAAGGUUUGAUCCCAAAUUGAAAAUAUAGCUGUAAAAUAAGUUAAGCAAGCUCUUCUGAAUAUAGAAACCAUUUUACCUAGGAUAAUAUAGAUAUCAUUUGGCUGCUUCCCUUAUAUUAAUUUUUAGAGUACACAGUAGCUUCCAUAGAAGAUGGUGGAUCUCCCUUCAGAGGCUCUUAAGGGUAGGAAAUGAACUAGAUGAUUUCUUGAGGCUUCCCCCACCCCUGUGAUUUUGCAAAAUAGCCAGCUCUACUCGAAGGCUAACGUGUCUCAUUGCCAGGGGCUGGGGGAGGUGGGAUUGGAGUGAUGUCUGCUGAUGGGUUUGGGGUAUCUUUCCGGGGUGAUGAAAAUGUUCUGAAAUUUGAUAGUGGUGAUAGUUACACAAUCUGUGAAUAUACCCAAAACCACUGAAUUAUAUACUUUAAAAGGGUGAAGUAUAUGAUGUAUAAAUUAUAGCUCAUUUUUAAAAAGGUUAUUAUGUCUCCAUUUAGCUGC